GAUAGCUCAGUUGGCUAGAGUGUGGUGCUGAUAAUGCCAAGGUUGCAGGUUCGAUAUUUCUGCAUUGCA